rnacentral:tRNA from 1 species
GGGGAAGUGUCGGAAUCGGCAGACGAGCGCGGCUUAGAACCGCGUGCCGCAAGGCGUAGGAGUUCGAGUCUCCUCUUCCCCACCA